rnacentral:rRNA from 1 species
CGCACCCUUCGGGGUGAGUGGCAGACGGGUGAGUAACGCGUGGGAACGUACCCUUUGGUUCGGAAUAGCCCUUGGAAACGAGGAGUAAUACCGAAUGAGCCCUACGGGGGAAAGAUUUAUCGCCGAAGGAUCGGCCCGCGUUAGAUUAGCUAGUUGGUGAGGUAAUGGCUCACCAAGGCGACGAUCUAUAGCUGGUUUGAGAGGAUGAUCAGCCACACUGGGACUGAGACACGGCCCAGACUCCUACGGGAGGCAGCAGUGGGGAAUCUUGGACAAUGGGGGAAACCCUGAUCCAGCCAUGCCGCGUGAAUGAUGAAGGCCUUAGGGUUGUAAAAUUCUUUCAGUGGGGAAGAUAAUGACGGUACCCACAGAAGAAGCCCCGGCUAACUCCGUGCCAGCAGCCGCGGUAAUACGGAGGGGGCUAGCGUUGUUCGGAAUUACUGGGCGUAAAGCGCGCGUAGGCGGACUAGCCAGUCAGAGGUGAAAGCCCAGGGCUCAACCCUGGAACUGCCUUUGAUACUGUUAGUCUGGAGUCCGGGAGAGGUGUGUGGAAUUCCGAGUGUAGAGGUGAAAUUCGUAGAUAUUCGGAGGAACACCAGAGGCGAAGGCGGCACACUGGACCGGUACUGACGCUGAGGCGCGAAAGCGUGGGGAGCAAACAGGAUUAGAUACCCUGGUAGUCCACGCCGUAAACGAUGGAUGCUAGUUGUCUGGCAGCAUGCUGUUAGGUGACGCAGCUAACGCAUUAAGCAUCCCGCCUGGGGAGUACGGCCGCAAGGUUAAAACUCAAAGAAAUUGACGGGGGCCCGCACAAGCGGUGGAGCAUGUGGUUAAUUCGAAGCAACGCGAAGAACCUUACCAGCUCUUGACUCCUGAUCGCGGUUUGGGAGACCCAUUCCUUCAGUCGGCUGAAUCAG